GACGAACGCUGGCGGCGUGCUUAACACAUGCAAGUCGAACGGAAAGGCCCUGCUUUUGUGGGGUGCUCGAGUGGCGAACGGGUGAGUAACACGUGAGUAACCUGCCCUUGACUUUGGGAUAACUUCAGGAAACUGGGGCUAAUACCGGAUAUGAGCUCCUGCUGCAUGGUGGGGGUUGGAAAGUUUCGGCGGUUGGGGAUGGACUCGCGGCCUAUCAGCUUGUUGGUGGGGUAGUGGCUUACCAAGGCUUUGACGGGUAGCCGGCCUGAGAGGGUGACCGGCCACAUUGGGACUGAGAUACGGCCCAGACUCCUACGGGAGGCAGCAGUGGGGAAUAUUGCACAAUGGGCGGAAGCCUGAUGCAGCAACGCCGCGUGCGGGAUGACGGCCUUCGGGUUGUAAACCGCUUUCGCCUGUGACGAAGCGUGAGUGACGGUAAUGGGUAAAGAAGCACCGGCUAACUACGUG
rnacentral:rRNA from 1 species